rnacentral:rRNA from 1 species
GCAAGUCGAAUGGGUUUAGACCCAUGGCAAACGGGUGAGUAACAUGUGGGUAUUUGCCUCAUACUCAGGGAUAACCCUCCGAAAGGAGGAAUAACACCUGAUAGUCCCGCAAGGGUAAAGAUUUAUCGGUAUGAGAGAAACCUGCGUCCUAUCAGCUAGUUGGUAAGGUAAUGGCUUACCAAGGCUAUGACGGGUAGUUGGUCUGAGAGGACGGCCAGCCACACUGGGACUGAGACACGGCCCAGACUCC